rnacentral:miRNA from 14 species
GCUGCUGCUUCUCUUCCUCCUCCUCCUCUUCCUCUUCCACCUCCUCUUCCCCUUCCUCCUUCUCCUUGUGUUCUAUUUCAUGCUAUUUGUUUUUGUUUUAUCUUAUUUUAAUAUUAUGCCCUAGAUUUUUUUUCUAAGAGAAAGUGUAUAGAUUCUGAUAGGAAGAGAGUCUGGGAUGAUCUCAGAGGAGUUGG